rnacentral:lncRNA from 1 species
AACAGGUGGAGCCGCGGCGGGGCUAGGCGGGGCGGGGAGUGAAACAGCAUAGGCUCCGCCCCUCGCGGCGCUUCCCCCGGAAUAGCGUCAUCAGUUCUAUAAGAGAGCGUGUGCCGAAGGCCUCGGCCUUUCACAUUCGGGAAGCGUCGGGAUUAGGUGAAAGAAGCUGAGCUGAACACAUUACGAUGGAUGAUGGAAACAUAAGACUAUCAAGAAAUCCAAGUGGUAAUGGGCGAAGUUUAUUCAGCAUCCGGCAAUGGACUUAUCGUAGUUGGGGAAACGGGUGUUCCGAAUAAUAUCCUGGAAGUUAUCAGGACACCUAUUUUAAAUAUAGGCCUGAAUUUUGUAAAGUAAUAUUUAAGGUGGUCCGUGAUAAUUAAAUAAAAUGCUUAAUUCAUGUGGCUACU